UCUCCACAACCCGUUCUACAGUUUACUAACUGCCUUCAGAACGUUGAGUCAAACAGGCAACACUUUCAACGAUGAUUUAUGUAGAAUCUCCAGUAGAAUGAUGGCAAGAAGAAGGUAUAGUCCUCCGUGUUCGACUAUUCCAGGAUGUGAGAGUUUAAUUAAAUCGAUGUUUGUAUUUAGUGGGAUUACUGCACAAUAUGGUAUGGUGGAACAUUGAAUGUCCAGUUUGGUAACUUGGUGGAAAUUUCGUGCUGAGAGAGAAACCUGACCAAUGUGGUCGCUGCCUUCCAAGUUUCAUGUUCAAGCCUUGGACGCACAUUCGGCGGUUUGAUAAGGAGACGGAGUAGAUACAGUCCGAGAGGCGGCACGUUUGGUGAUUUCGGUUCACAAACCGUGUGGAUGUAUGGACUUCUUUAUUGAAACGUGUCGUUCAAGAUAAAACGAUGCGUUUUCCUACGGGAUGAAUUUGAUAUUCAUGGAGGGAAACUCAUCCAGUCCUACUUUUCCAAGAGUCUUUUUGAAGGCAGGACUGAGGCAACACUCACCAAGACAGAUGGAGACUACAGCGAAUAACAGCAGUGCUUUGUGUGUUCAACCCAGAGUCACGUGGUCUAUCUAUGAAGACUGAAAAGACUGAGGAUACAAAACAACAAGAUCAUGGCACAGGGGAAGAUAUAAGUAGGGCAGCAUCGGAGCAUGGCUGACUGUCUGGACUAUUUCAGCGCAGCUCAGUUCAGAAAAGAAUCGGCUUCCUAGCCGUCGCUUCUUAACCAGGGGCCAAGCCCCCCUCCGGCACAUUCCUCCUUCACCACCUUCUCUCUCCCCUCCUCUCUGAGAUCAAUGCUCCAUUAUU